GACCUCAAAUCAGGUAGGACUACCCGCUGAACUUAAGCAUAUCAAUAAGCGGAGGAAAAGAAACUAACAAGGAUUCCCCUAGUAACUGCGAGUGAAGCGGGAAAAGCUCAAAUUUAAAAUCUGUCAGUCUUUGAUUGUCCGAAUUGUAAUCUAGAGAAGUGUUAUCCGCGUUGGACCGUGUACAAGUCUCCUGGAAUGGAGCGUCAUAGAGGGUGAGAAUCCCGUCUUUGACACGGACUGCCAGGGCUCUGUGAUACACUCUCAAAGAGUCGAGUUGUUUGGGAAUGCAGCUCAAAAUGGGUGGUAAAUUCCAUCUAAAGCUAAAUAUUGGCGAGAGACCGAUAGCGAACAAGUACCGUGAGGGAAAGAUGAAAAGAACUUUGGAAAGAGAGUUAAACAGUACGUGAAAUUGCUGAAAGGGAAACGCUUGAAGUCAGUCGCGUUGUCCAGGGAUCAACCUUGCUUUUGCUUGGUGUAUUUUCUGGUUAACGGGUCAGCAUCAAUUUUGACUAUUGGAAAAAAGUCAAGGGAAUGUGGCAUCUUAGGAUGUGUUAUAGCCCUUGGUUGCAUACAAUUGUUGGGAUUGAGGAACUCAGCACGCCGCAAGGCCGGGUAUCUAAUGACCACGUACGUGCUAGA
rnacentral:rRNA from 2 species